AGCGUCCUAAUAAGUCUAUUUCUUGCCUCUCCCUUUGUCUUUCCCCGAAUUCCUUCUGUGCGGAGCCCUGAAGAAGCUGAACCUCCGUGAGUCCAGACACAAGGCCUGCCUCUAACGUUUGCACCGCCCCGGGGCGAUAGUACAAACGAGCGCCCACAUACCACAUGUCUAAAUAUUUAAAAGUUGUAAAAUCAAGCUAAAACACCGUUCAAUAAAGUCCCAUCCUUCUACCUUGACAUGCCAUCGUAUUGAAAAAUGGAAAACAAUGUUAAAUUAUGGUUUUCGUUGGGGAAAAAAAAAAAAAGUUAGUUUGUUAUUGCAUAUAUCUGGGUGUUUUGUGGGGCUAGAAAUGUUCAGAAGAUUAAUAAAAUGGAAGAGAUAUAAUUCAUAA